rnacentral:rRNA from 1 species
AGUGAACGCUGGCGGUAGGCCUAACACAUGCAAGUCGAACGGCAGCACAGAGGAGCUUGCUCCUUGGGUGGCGAGUGGCGGACGGGUGAGGAAUACAUCGGAAUCUACUCUGUCGUGGGGGAUAACGUAGGGAAACUUACGCUAAUACCGCAUACGACCUACGGGUGAAAGCAGGGGAUCUUCGGACCUCGCGCGAUUGAAUGAGCCGAUGUCGGAUUAGCUAGUUGGCGGGGUAAAGGCCCACCAAGGCGACGAUCCGUAGCUGGUCUGAGGGGAUGAUCAGCCACACUGGAACUGAGACACGGUCCAGACUCCUACGGGAGGCAGCAGUGGGGAAUAGUGGACAAUGGGCGCAAGCCUGAUCCAGCCAUACCGCGUGGGUGAAGAAGGCCUUCGGGUUGUAAAGCCCUUUUGUUGGGAAAGAAAUCCAUCUGGUUAAUACCCGGGUGGGAUGACGGUACCCAAAGAAUAAGCACCGGCUAACUUCGUGCCAGCCGCCGCCGUAA